AGUUUUCGGAUGGAAUUUAUAUUGACUGAGUGGCGGACGGGUGAGUAACGCGUGGGUAACCUGCCUCAUACAGGGGGAUAACAGUUAGAAAUGACUGCUAAUACCGCAUAAGCGCACAGAAUCGCAUGAUUGGGUGUGAAAAACUCCGGUGGUAUGAGAUGGACCCGCGUCUGAUUAGCUAGUUGGUGGGGUAAAGGCCUACCAAGGCGACGAUCAGUAGCCGACCUGAGAGGGUGAUCGGCCACAUUGGGACUGAGACACGGCCCAAACUCCUACGGGAGGCAGCAGUGGGGAAUAUUGCACAAUGGGGGAAACCCUGAUGCAGCAACGCCGCGUGAGUGAAGAAGUAUUUCGGUAUGUAAAGCUCUAUCAGCAGGGAAGAAGAUGACGGUACCUGAUUAAGAAGCCCCGGCUAACUACGUGCCAGCAGCCGCGGUAAUACGUAGGGGGCAAGCGUUAUCCGGAUUUACUGGGUGUAAAGGGAGCGUAGACGGCAUAGCAAGUCUGAAGUGAAAGCCCAAGGCUCAACCAUGGGACUGCUUUGGAAACUGUUAAGCUAGAGUGCUGGAGAGGUAAGCGGAAUUCCUAGUGUAGCGGUGAAAUGCGUAGAUAUUAGGAAGAACACCAGUGGCGAAGGCGGCUUACUGGAC
rnacentral:rRNA from 1 species